rnacentral:rRNA from 1 species
AGUACGGUCGCAAGAUUAAAAACUCAAAGGAAUUGACGGGGACCCGCACAAGCGGUGGAUUAUGUGGAUUAAUUCGAUGCAACGCGAAAAACCUUACCUACCCUUGACAUGCUUGGAAUCUAAUGGAGACAUAAGAGUGCCCGAAAGGGAGCCAAGACACAGGUGCUGCAUGGCUGUCGUCAGCUCGUGUCGUGAGAUGUUGGGUUAAGUCCCGCAACGAGCGCAACCCUUGUCACUAAUUGCUAUCAUUUUUAGAUGAGCACUUAUAGUGAGACUGCCGGUGACAAACCGGAGGAAGGUGGGGAUGACGUCAAGUCCUCAUGGCCCUUAUGGGUAAGGGCUUACA